CUCACAAUAGCUGUCAUCUCCACUUAGAAUGUAAUCUUUAAGGAGAACAAAUAAUGAAGGCGAGGUGUAGGAUCUCAGCUGCAGGAGGAGGAGACAAACGAGAGAGGAAAUAACAAAAAUUUAAUGGUCAUAUUAAGAUUAGUACAGGUGUGUGAAGGAAACAUGCUGGCAUGAGACUUUGACAUUACCAUUCUUUGCAGGUUUUAUACCCUGUGUUGGGCUGACCCAGGAAUGCACUGCCCACCUUGCUUGUCGGGCUAACUCUGGGAGACAUUCACACCCUUUUAAUGAACUCAGGAAGAAUAAUUUAUACCAGCAGUUGAUCCACUCGACUCUUCAGUGCUGUUUAUCUAAACCAAAGGCCACUCUCCAUCCCCUUGGUGUUGAGUUAAGGCAGCUUCUUUGCAGCAGCUGUGAUGGCGAUUACCUAGAGAACCAUUAACACAUGGGAAAAAAUACAACAUCUACUGGAGGCAUAUUAACCUCUAAUGAAUCAGCUGCAACUUUCAUUGGAGUAUGGACAAAUUCUUCUCUACAAAUGGAAUUUUAACAGGAAAUUGAAAAUAAUGUCCUCUCAAAAAAUCAUCUAAGAAGAAUGAAGUACUAUGGAGACAGAAUGGGAGCAGCAGAAGCAAGACUGAAUCCUAAAGUGUAAGAAACAUGCAAAUAGGAUAGUUAUAUUACCUUUUUUAAGAAUAAGCUGUAACAGCAAAGAGAUAAACUUGUAGGUUUUGUAAACUGAAAUUUUGUAAUCAGAUUUGUUUCCAAGGUCCUCAGAGUGGAUGCAUACUCCAGCUGCACCCUGAAUCCAAGACAUGAUGUGGUUAUAUCAAAACAUGUUUCAAU